UACAGAGGUCCCAAGCGUUGUUCGGAUUCACUGGGCGUAAAGGGUGCGUAGGUGGCGAGGUAAGUCGGAUGUGAAAGCUCGGAGCUCAACUCCGAAAUGGCAUUGGAAACUACCUUGCUCGAGGGUCGGAGGGGGGACUGGAAUGCUUGGUGUAGCAGUGAAAUGCGUAGAUAUCAAGCGGAACAUCAGUGGCGAAGGCGAGUCCCUGGACAACUCCUGACACUGAGGCACGAAAGCUAGGGGAGCAAACAGG
rnacentral:rRNA from 1 species